GUGGGGCCCGCGCCCGGGCGGGAGGGAAGGUCGAGACCGCGGGGUCGCCUGGGCCCCUCCGCGGCCGCAGGUGUGCGGUGCCCGGCCCUGCUCCCGGGAAACCGCUCCCGAAGCCGGGCCGGCUGCUCGAUCGAGGCGGGUUUGAGUUGGAGGAGCCGCAGGACGGCAACUUGGUUUUCCCAGCAACGGGAGCCGCUGUUUCUGGAAACAGCGCGAGGCGGGAGGAAGCCCGCUCGGUCACGCAGGUAAUUUCGGCUUCAGGGAAGCGGCGCCCAAGGCUGGGCGGACUCGCACCCAGCGCCCGCGCCCACGGCAGCGCAGGCCCCACCGGCCUCCCUGCUGCCGACCGCGCCGGAGUCUCGGGUUGGGAGCGAAGUUGGCCCACGCGCGCCAAGUGGUGAAGCCUCCCGGGGAAGAGCGGGGGCCCUCCCCUCCCCUUCUCCUCUCCUCUCCCCUCCUCUGGGGCUGCACAGUCCUGCUCGGCCUCGCCGCGGAUGCGCCUGCGAUCCCGAAGUGCUGGAGGCCGAGUACCGGGACCGCCAGUUCGAGCCCAGCCUGGGGACUCAGUGACUUCAGAGACCCUGUCUCAAAAGGAAAACUGUAAAAGGUCGUGGGGCGGGGCGCAGCGCCGUGCAAAGGCCCUGGGCUCAAUGCUACCACAGCAAAUAAAUACAUAAGACUGUGACAGGCGCUCCAGGCCCCAGCACAGGAAGCGUGAAGCCCGCCUGGGAGGUCAGCUCUAAGAUGGAAGGGACCAGCACUCCGGGCUUUUUCACCAGCACUCUGGGGCUGAGGCAGGAGGAUCGCCGUGAGUUCAAGGCCAGCCCGAACUACAUAUUGAGACCCUGUCUCAAAUAACAACAGCAGCAAAUUAGAUAUACCAGCACACAUGCUUUGCUUUUGAGUGGAGGGGCAUGAGCCAGCUACUGAUCCAGGCUCUGCUGGGAGAGUGUGGGGUAAAAGGUGUCCCUGUCCGUCCUGACUCUGCAAAUAACUGCUUGUCGGUGUUCGAUAAUCAACAGAAGACAGGCUAGAGACAGCACCUUGUGUUCCAUGACGAUUUCGCAGGUCCCGACAGGUGCAGGCGCUCCCUCUCCCAAGCCAUAAGCUGGUCUCCAAGGGCAGGAGUUGAAAGAGACUGAUAAUAGAAAACAUCCAUAAAAACUUCAUUAAGCAUGGAGGGUGUCGGAGACCAGAGAACUGAGGCCCAACCGGCCUCCCCUGUGAGCAUGCAGGAGAAAGGCUGCACACAGGGUUGAUGGCUAUCGCAGGUUCCAGGGAAAAGCAAAGACAGCUGAGUCAGGGAGAACAGGGUAGCAGGUCUAGGUCCCAGAGCACAGCCGGCCCCCAGUGUACGGCUUGGAGCAAGGCUCAGCUACAGAGGCUCAUUAAAGAGGAGAAAGUCAUGACUAGCAGUUUUACAACUUCCCCAAGGUCCCCUGAGAAAUGACAUGACUGUAAGAAAGCUUCGUAGUCAUUCAGUUAAGUAAAACAUAUUGCUAUUACGGAUUCUGCCUUGGGACAGGACUUGGGGAGGUGACAAUGGGGCAAGUUCAAAAUGACCCAUCGGGUGGGGCGUAGCUCAGCGGCCGAUGCCUACCGUGUUCGAGGCCCUGGGUGUAGCUCCCAAGCCCCUGCUCGAUAGAGAGCUGAGAGGAACACAGAAAAACUGCUUAUUGUUUAUUUUCAAGAGAACUUAGGCAUAUGAUUUAAAAUUAUAAUGCUAUAGACUAUUAACUUUAAAAGAACCCAGUCAUUAUACUGAACUUGGCUUGAUUCUACUUACACGUCACUUAACUUAGCAGAUAUUCAUUGGCUCCGGCAUCAUUGAAGUGUUAAAAGGAAAGGUGCAGUUUAUGCUGUUUCAGUAACGAGGGCCUAAUUAUUUCAUUUCUACUGAGAACAAUAUUUAAAAUCUUACAGAAAACUAGAAAAUAGUGUGAAAAUGGGCACCACACUGAUCAGCUAAUGGACAGCAGACUGAGUGGCAGCUGGGCUGCAGGAAAUGCAGCCACACCCACAGACAGCUCCCAGCACUGAGGACCUCCCGAGGACUGCGGGGUCCUUUCUGCCACUGCCUGGCAACAAGUCUGUGGAUGCGGCGUCAUCCAAAUAAGGACUUUCGGGCGUUCCUGUAAAGUUACAAACCUCAUGCAGUCGCCUGCCCACGCCUUAUGGUGUCACAGAAAGGAUCCCAGUUGUGGGGGUACAGGGAUCCUAUGUCCGAACUCAGAGGAGAGAUGAGUGAGUUAUAUCUUCCUGCCAUUUUGUCUUUCAGGACUUUGACGUGCCAAACCAGGCUUGACUUUUCUUUCUUAAACUGUUUGCUUCCGGUUAUUUGAUUCUACCUGGAUGAUACCUGCAGUGUCAUUCUAACGCUGCUCUCAUUUCUUCCUGGAACCCGUACUCGAGCAGCAGGGACCUCAGAAGCCCUGCAGACGAAGCCAGUCCCUGCCUUGCGUCUGCCACCUGUUCUGUGUCCCUUUAGCUUAAACGUGCUGGGAAUGAACCCAGGGUCUGGCGCAUCCUAGUGAAGGCUGCACCCCUGAGCUGCAGACCCUGCCCACGGAUUCUCCUCUCCUCCUCCUCCUGAGGUCACUGGGGACUGCCAUCAGGGCUCUACCACUGCUCUGCUCCAUCUUUUACAGGUCUUUUAUUCUGAGACAGCGUCUUACUAGUUGCCCAGGCUGACCUAGAACUUGCAAUCCUCCUGCCUCAGCCCUCCAAGUAGCUAGGAUUGCUGGCAUAAGGCACUGCACCCAGCCUGAGAUUUCUU